UACAGAGGGUGCAAGCGUUGUUCGGAAUUAUUGGGCGUAAAGGGCGCGUAGGCGGGCUGCCGCGUCCGGGGUGAAAUCCCACGGCUCAACCGUGGAACUGCCUCGGAUACGGGCGGUCUUGAGGGGGGUAGGGGCACGCGGAACUGUGGGUGGAGCGGUGAAAUGCGUUGAUAUCCACAGGAACUCCGGUGGCGAAGGCGGCGUGCUGGACCCCAUCUGACACUGAGGCGCGAAAGCCAGGGGAGCAAACGGG
rnacentral:rRNA from 1 species